rnacentral:rRNA from 1 species
AGCGAUCGCUGGCGGCAGGCCUAACACAUGCAAGUCGAACGGACCCUUCGGGGUUGGUGGCGGACGGGUGAGUGACACGUGGGAACGUGCCUUUAGGUUCGGAAUAGCUCCUGGAAACGGGUGGUAAUGCCGAAUGUGCCCUUCGGGGGAAAGAUUUAUCGCCUUUAGAGCGGCCCGCGUCUGAUUAGCUAGUUGGUGAGGUAAUGGCUCACCAAGGCGACGAUCAGUAGCUGGUCUGAGAGGAUGACCAGCCACACUGGGACUGAGGCACGGCCCAGACUCCUACGGGAGGGAGCAGUGGGGAAUCGUGCGCAAUGGGCGAAAGCCUGACGCAGCCAUGCCGCGUGAAUGAUGAAGGUCUUAGGAUUGUAAAAUUCUUUCACCGGGGACGAUAAUGACGGUACCCGGAGAAGAAGCCCCGGCUAACUUCGUGCCAGCAGCCGCAGUAA